rnacentral:snRNA from 1 species
AUGGUUUGGUUAAAUAAAUAAAAAAUAAAAAAAAUAAAAAAUCUGUUCUUAUCAGUUUAAUAUCUGAUACGUCCCCCAUCGGGGGACUACAUAUUAAAUGGAUUUUUCGAACAGGGAGUCGGAAAUGGGGCUUGCUCCGUCCGCUCCACGCACGGUGCAACACUU